GUCUCUACUUGUUGCCGGAUUGUACUUCCCAAGCGCUUAGUACAGUGCUCUGUAUGCUGUAAGCACUCAAUAAAUACGAUUGAAUAAAUGAAUGAAUGCACUCUAGUGGCUAAAAUCUGUGUCGUGUUAUUUCAGAUUUGCCAUGCCAAAUUUCUCUCACCGACAAAGAAACCUGCAGCAUGUUUGUUCUUAAGGGACUCACUUGAGCGGCUCAAAGAGACCCGCAACGAUAAAAAGCACCCAGGCCAAAGCAGCAGUCAUGCUGCUUCUCAGUGCUUGUUCCAGCUCCAUAUGUGAUUCCGAUAAAACAGUUUUCCAUGAGGUGUUGGCCCCAAUUUGCAGAAGGAGAUUAGCACCCAGUACUUUCAACUGCUGAAUGAACAACAUGUGGCUGAUCCUCCAAAUAUUAAAACUAGAGAGAAGGAAAGAUUCUUCAAAAAUUAUGACAAUAUAAUUUAAGUGCUUAUUAUGUGACAAGAACUGUUGGGGUUGGUCGACUACAGUCAGAUCACAUGUUGUCCCCACUGGGGAUCACAGUUUAUGCGGAAGAGCGAACAGGUAUUUAAUCCCCGUUUCACAGGUGAGGAAACCAAUGCCCAAAAUGGUUAAGUGACUUGCCCAAGAUCACACAGCAGGCCAGGGGCAGAGCUGGAAUUUGAACCCAGGUCAUGGGGCUCACAGUCCCAGGCUGUCUCCACUAGACCAUGCUGCUUCUCUGUGAAACUUGGCAAAUGACACGUAAUUUCCAAAGUUGGUCAUGCUUCAUCUGUUAUGCCUUUUUUUUUUGGAAAAUAUUAAUAGUUUCCACCUGUCUAAAUAACGAGUCAGUCGAUCCAAUGCAGAUUUGACAAUGUACUCUCUGACAACAAAACACACUUUGUGCAACUCUGACUGAACACGAAAUUAAUAUCACGUGAAAGACUAAUUUUAUUUGGGGCCAUAUCUCUUCCUCAGCCAACAUCCAUCGGAGCUCUAGUUUGAAUUGGAAAGCUGCUUUCCUUCGUAGGAGUUGGUAUAAUGGCUAAUUAAGAGAAAUUGAACUGCACAUUCGGGCAAGAUAGGCUUGUCUGCUACACAGCCUCAAAGGCUAACUCAUUCUUCACUCUGAAAUGAAUUUAUUUCCAAGAAAGUCUAAAAUAAUUGAACACGGGAGAAGCAGAACAGUGUCAGGACUUUGUGAGAUAACCCAGUUGGAUAAGACUCCUGCCUACACUAAUUCCCUGGCUAGUUGAGUUACAUCGGUGGAAGAAACCACAAAGAACACCUGGAUCCCUGGAACUUAUUCCCCUCCUAAACCGAGUCAUUUUAAAUCCCAAUCUCCCAAAUUUGACCGGAAAAACGUGUUCACUCACUCGUCCACAACCUCACUCUCCACUUUUUCAUUUUAUUGCUCGGUAAGAUGCUCUAUAGCAAAUUCACCUUGGAUGGGCUAAGAGUCCUCCAAGGGAAGAAGAGCAGCUUUCUCUGCCUCCUCCCUUUUUCUGCUGUGUAGAUAGGGAGUGUGUCCGUUUCAAGCAGUGGAUCACCGUGCUGACUUCCACCUACUCUGCCCCAACCCAGCGUCCUCUAAAA
rnacentral:lncRNA from 1 species